CAAAAGGCCCUUUUCAGGGCCCCCCUAACUUUACGCUGAGGAGCUGU
rfam:Otolemur garnettii contig175465, whole genome shotgun sequence.